CCGCAUCGAACGAUGACGCCAUCAGAUAUUUUCAUUUACUAGAGAGUAUAUUCGAAUGUGGAGUGCCUUUUUCACCGAUGGGUUAGUGACCCCGCUAAGGGGGCUUAUUCAAGAGCGGGAAACUAUACACUGACUUGGCUAGCAUUCUUGUAGCUACCGAUAAAGGCGAGUUAGUACCCUAAGAAGGCGCCAAAAUUUGCUUGGCGGGCACAUGUUCGCUGUGAACUCCGUCAAAUCCUCGCGUAUUGUAACCACUCAACGAGCUGUCACAUAGUCGACAAAGUUUUUGUUUUUCGAUUGUGCCCUUUCAGAGGUAGUACAACUUUAGCAAUUUCGAGCAUCUCCGUCAAUUCAUUGCUCUAGCAGGCCAAAAACAACAGUAAUCUCUAUUACGACAUAAUGAGCGAAUCGGAACAUUCAUCUUCACCUUUAUUUAGGUCCGUGAUGCCGUACACUCUAGCUAAGGAUAUUUCCUCAAUUAACUUAAAAGAAUCGGCGAUAACUGCACCGUUGUCCGACUCCACGCCUCUGGCAACACCUUCUGGGUUUAAAAAAUGUUCUUCUUUAAAUCAGAUUUCCAUCAUUUCUUCAGCUGACAGUUCAGUUCUACCUGAUCCUCCCUCGAAAGACAGCAUGGAGUUGCACAUUUCGAGGGCUAGUCGAGACUCCACGGUCUCUUGGAAUAGCUUUCACAAGGACCUUGGAAUUUCAAAGGACAGCACUCCUGCAUGCGAUGGUCUAAAGGAUGGGGCUAUAACGAGUGCGGCCUCUCGGGACAGCAAUGUCAGAAAACUCAGUUCUGCUCUACCCAGUGCUGGUACAAGUUUAGGUGUUUCCGCAAAAGAUAAAAGCGUUUCUCCUAAAUUUGCCAUGAGGGACGUCCUUCCUGCAACCUCUCCAAAGGACGCCUCUCCAAAAGACGUUCCGACGAAGGACGCUGCUGCGAAGGACAUCCCUGCAAAGGAUGUCGCUGUAAAGGAUGUCAUGGAGAACGACCUCGCUGCGAACGACGUUGUGGAGAAGGACGUCGCUGCGAACGACGUUGUGGAGAAGGACGUCCUCGCAAACGACGUUAUGGACAAGGACGUCGCUGCAAACGACGUCGUGGAGAAGGACGUCAACGCAAAUGACGCCAUGGAGAAGGAGGCCGCUGCAAGGGACGUCGUGUGGAAAGACGUCGCUGCAAAUGACGUCGUGGGAAAAGACAUCGAUGCCAAAGACAUCGGGGAGAAGGAUGUUGCUACAAAGGACUUCGUGGAGAAGGAUGUCUCUACGAAAGAGGAAGUGGAGAAGAACGUCACUAUGAAGGAGAUUGUAGAGAAGGACGUCGCUGCAAAGAAUACCAUGGCGAAGGACGUCACUAUAAAGGAAGUCGUGGAGGAGGACGUCAUUGCCAAGGAAGUCAUGGACAAGAACUUCGCUGCCAAAGACGUCGCGGAAAAGAAUGUCGCUCCAAAGGAAAAAGUGAAGAAAAAUGUUGCUACAACGGACAUCGUGGCGAAGGACGUCGCUGCAAAUGACACCCCAACACCGAAGGAUUCAUUUAGAGAGAACAAAACAUAUAGUGGCGGCGGCGUAAAAUCAAACAACAAAAGCAAUAAAGAUGGAGCCGCGACACUCAGCCCAUCAAAAAUAACUUUGCCUAAUGAGCUGCGCUUGCUUGAUAGUAUGCUGGAUUCGAAUACUCACCAAUUCAAGGCUGCAGAAGUCAUUCGAGGGUCCAGGAUGAUUCGAAACAUUAACGUCAUAUGGGGUGCGAGUAGUAUAGUACAGUUGAGUCCGUCUGUGAACUCUGGAGCGGGAUUCUAUCCUGACCCUGAUUCUGACUCGGAUUCCGAUUCAACUCGUGGCGGAAAAGUAUGUUGCAGGAAUAAGUUUGUAAAAUCUAUUCCAGUCGAGUGGGUAGCUCAUAGCCUGAAGAUCGAUCGCCAGGUUGAUGACGUGAUGACAUGCGACAUGUCCAAAUCAUUAAAAAUAUACCGGAGAUUUUCGAAGCUUUGCGGACGGCUAUGAUAGUUUUUUUUUAAAGCUGGUAAUAGAAUCAACCCUAUUGUUACCAUUAUUGAAGCUUUUUAUUGAUAGCCGUACCCUAAACUAUACGUCAAACAAAAUGUCACGUUAGUGUCUUGAUGUGGCUUCUAGUUGCACCGGAUUAUAUCCGUUCAAGGCCUCGAAGGAAUUAUGCUUUAAUCGUUCUUGAUUUUGUUGUUCUAUUCAAGAUCUGGAGAAAGUUUCCACCAUAGGUAUAUGACAGAAAUAACUCUAUAGACAAUGAAAUUAUUGUCUCGAAUGUAUGAAGGCAAGUUUUUUUUUUUUACAAAGGAAUCUAUUAGAGAUUUGCGUACUAUACAGAUUCACCGCUGAACUUCAUUUCAUCUUGCAUAUUUUCGAAUCAUCAACCACAUUAACUCGUAAUACUAUUUUUCAAUGAUUCAUAAUGAAACUAUUUGGCUUCCACGGCUCAGUCAAAAAAAAAGCGCCGCUAAGUGUACAUAUCUGUGUUGUUAUGAAGUGAGGCGUCUGCAGCUAAAUAAGCGUAUCGACGUGUCCUGUUGUGCCCACGUACGCAUGCGCAGACUUAACAAGCGAUGCAGUAAUAUCGCCCGGGACAAAAUUUGCCUUGCGCUCAUGGGUUUUUUGAGAUUAAAUGACACAGCCUUGGCAGUGGUCUGUUGACUAUCGUCACUCGAGGUAUAUCAAAACCAUUUCUCGUAUUUUAAGACAGGAAGCGUAACACUGCAACAGGCGUUAGUUUCAAACUGUUAAUUUUCCACACUUAUUGCAUAGCUUUUAUCUGAUAUUAACAUGCUACUACUAUCGUUUAUAUUUUGUCAAACAGUGUAGCACAAUUAUGUGCCGAUACGUCGGCAAACUAGUGAAGUUGACCCAAAUGGAUAUGUCAAAACAUCGUAUACGUUGAAGUGAGAUCAUCAACCAUUCCAACUCAGUCUACUUAUUUUGGGCACAGGGUCUCUCAACGAGGCAAUCCAAGUAAUCAUCGACUCUUGACGCAAAACAGACAAACAUGGUAUGUAUCAGUGCUUGAAGAGGUGUACACGUACGUAAAAUGGU